AGCAGCCGCGGUAAUUCCAGCUCCAAUAGCGUAUAUUAAAGUUGUUGCAGUUAAAAAGCUCGUAGUUGAACUUCGGGGUUUACCCAUUGGUCAGGCUUAAUUGUCUGCACUGGUGAGAUGAAUCUCUACCUUCUGAGGAACUUUCAUGCCAUUUAUUUGGUGUGAUGGGAAAUCAGGACUGCUACUUUGAAAAAAUUAGAGUGUUUAAAGCAGGCUGACGUCUGAAUACAUUAGCAUGGAAUAAUGAAAUAGGACGGACUGAUUCUAUUUCGUUGGUUUCUAGGAUCACCGUAAUGAUUAACAGGGAUAGUUGGGGGCAUUAGUAUUCAAUUGUCAGAGGUGAAAUUCUUGGAUUUGUUGAAGACUAACUACUGCGAAAGCAUUUGCCAAGGAUGUUUUCAUUAAUCAAGAACGAAAGUUAGGGGAUCGAAGACGAUCAGAUACCGUCGUAGUCUUAACCAUAAACUAUGCCGACUAGGGAUCGGACGAAGUUAAUUUUAUAAUGACGCGUUCGGCACCUUACG
rnacentral:rRNA from 1 species